GAUGAACGCUGGCGGCGUGCCUAAUACAUGCAAGUCGAGCGAACAGACGAGGAGCUUGCUCCUCUGACGUUAGCGGCGGACGGGUGAGUAACACGUGGAUAACCUACCUAUAAGACUGGGAUAACUUCGGGAAACCGGAGCUAAUACCGGAUAAUAUAUUGAACCGCAUGGUUCAAUAGUGAAAGACGGUUUUGCUGUCACUUAUAGGUGGAUCCGCGCCGCAUUAGCUAGUUGGUAAGGUAACGGCUUACCAAGGCAACGAUGCGUAGCCGACCUGAGAGGGUGAUCGGCCACACUGGAACUGAGACACGGUCCAGACUCCUACGGGAGGCGGCAGUAGGGAAUCUUCCGCAAUGGGCGAAAGCCUGACGGAGCAACGCCGCGUGAGUGAUGAAGGUCUUCGGAUCGUAAAACUCUGUUAUUAGGGAAGAACAAAUGUGUAAGUAACUAUGCACGUCUUGACGGUACCUAAUCAGAAAGCCACGGCUAACUACGUG
rnacentral:rRNA from 1 species